GAUGAACGCUAGCGAUAGGCCUAACACAUGCAAGUCGAGGGGCAUCACAUGAAGUAGCAAUACGGAUGGUGGCGACCGGCGCACGGGUGAGUAACACGUAUGCAACCUGCCUUCAACAAGGGGAUAACCCGUUGAAAGACGGACUAAUACCCUAUAACACAGGGGUCCCGCAUGGGAAUAUUUGUUAAAGGACAACCGGUUGAAGAUGGGCAUGCGUUCCAUUAGCUAGUUGGCGGGGUAAUGGCCCACCAAGGCAACGAUGGAUAGGGGAACUGAGAGGUUUAUCCCCCACACUGGUACUGAGACACGGACCAGACUCCUACGGGAGGCAGCAGUGAGGAAUAUUGGUCAAUGGACGCAAGUCUGAACCAGCCACGUCGCGUGAAGGAAGACGGCCCUACGGGUUGUAAACUUCUUUUAUACGGGGAAUAAAGUGCCCCACGCGUGGGGUUUUGCAUGUACCGUAUGAAUAAGGAUCGGCUAACUCCGUG
rnacentral:rRNA from 1 species